rnacentral:rRNA from 1 species
UGGGGAAUAUUGGACAAUGGGCGCAAGCCUGAUCCAGCAAUGCCGCGUGUGUGAAGAAGGCCUUCGGGUUGUAAAGCACUUUAGGCUGGGAAGAAAAAGUCGGAGCUAAUAUCUCCGACCUUGACGGUACCAGAAGAAUAAGCACCGGCUAACUCUGUGCCAGCAGCCGCGGUAAUACAGAGGGUGCAAGCGUUAAUCGGAUUUACUGGGCGUAAAGCGUGUGUAGGUGGUUAUUCAAGUCGGUUGUGAAAUCCCCGGGCUUAACCUGGGAACUGCUUCCGAGACUGAAUGACUAGAGUACGGUAGAGGGCGGUGGAAUUUCCGGUGUAGCGGUGAAAUGCGUAGAUAUCGGAAGGAACAUCAAUGGCGAAGGCAGCCGCCUGGGCCUGUACUGACACUG